rnacentral:rRNA from 1 species
UACAGAGGUCCCAAGCGUUGUUCGGAUUCACUGGGCGUAAAGGGCGCGUAGGCGGCCUGCUAAGUCGAACGUGAAAUCCCCGGGCUCAACCCGGGAACUGCGUCCGAUACUGGCAGGCUUGAAUCCGGGAGAGGGAUGUGGAAUUCCAGGUGUAGCGGUGAAAUGCGUAGAUAUCUGGAGGAACACCGGUGGCGAAGGCGGCAUCCUGGACCGGCAUUGACGCUGAGGCGCGAAAGCCAGGGGAGCAAACGGG